CCGAGCUGCCGUCUCUGUCGCCAGCACCCACCACAGCGAGGCGAGCCGUGGUGCCACACGCUCCAGCCUCCAGCUGUGGCAAGUGACUACCCCUUCUCCUGGUCCUCUAAGCCUGGCACGGAGCAGCUGCGCAGGCAGCCACACAAGAGCCUGGAAUGGCCUGAUGCCCCUUCUGCAUGCCUUAUACAUGAGCUUAUGCAAAUGAGGUUCCUGGACUACAUAUUCUGAUUGGAUGAGAGAAAACCUCUAGGCCUAUUCUGAUUGGACUUUAUUUUCAUGCUGUGAUUGGUUGUCCUAAGACUUGCUCUCAUCCAAUCAGAAUCGAAGCUGGGAGCUCAGCUUAGAGAACAGGAAGUGGGAGCCACAUACCCCGAGCUGGCGGCUUGAGCCUGUGGUAUCUAGGCUCACCUCACUGCGGUUGGUGGAGGUGAUGGAGGUUGCAGCUUGGCCAGCAUGGUAGAAAGGUGGCAGGGCACGUCUGGCUUUUACCACCCAGUUGCUUCGAGCCAGGAGAUGGAGGAGUCAUCUGUUGCACGCUGGAGGCUGGAGCCUGCAGAUGGCAUGGUUCUGUGGCUCACCUCGCUGCAGUUGGUGGCAGAGACAGAGACUGCAGCUUGACCAGAGUGGUGGAGUGAUAUGUAUCUCAAGAGCACUCCACAACAAAGAUUCUGCCUGCAAUCCUCCACUUCAAGGUCUGUUCCAGGAAACCUGUGUAACACAGUUAUGCAUAGAGUGGUCUUAGGAAGCUGACUCUAACAUGAAAAUUUAGAGUUGGAUCUUUUGCUGACAUAUUGAAUAUUCAUAAGAGCAUAUGAUACAUUUGUCUAUCAUAAACAUGUCAUUUCAAAAAACCCUCAAAGUUGCCUUGUAGAACAUAAUUUUAAAACUAGUGUGUAGGAAUAUUUCAUAUCAGUUAUUCAGUCUUCUUAAUAUCUGAACCGAAAUUAAUCUUCCAUUCUGCUUUUAUUUAUAAAUAAUGAUUUAUUGUCAGAUUCAAUAAUUUAUAUUUUCAUUUAUUCUAAGGUAGGAAAUACCAGCAUAAAAAUAAAUUAUUUGAAACAAAUCACAUUGUUGUCCCAUUUUACCAUUACUCACAUGUAGAAGAUAUUGUUUUUAACAAAAACAAUAAGAGAAACAGAAACUACCAUUUAUUAACUGAUGCUUACUGGAAGCUUUAGAAGGAUCUUAUUUAACUUUCAAUCAAGUUUUUCAUGGACAUUUUUGUUAUUGAGAAAUAAUUUUAAUUUAUCAGAUCCUCAAAGCAAAUUAUAUAGGUGCCAUUAUUAACAGAUUUUUUAAAAAAACCUGAUUCAUAGAAAAGGUUAAUGAUAUGGUUUGGAUCUUUGACCCCAUCAAAUCUCAUGUUGAAUUGCAAUCCCCAGUGCUGGAAGUGGGGCCUGGUGGGAGCUGAUUAAAUUAUGGAGGUGGAGUUCUCGUGAAUGGUAUAGCACCAUUCCUUUGGUGCUGUCUUGUGGUUGAGUUUUCAUGACAUUUGGUUGUUUAAAAGUUUGUGGCAUCUUUCCCAUCUCUCUCUUGCUCUUCCUGCAGCCAGGUGAAGGGCUGUUCCCCCUUUGCCUUCUGCCAUGAUUGUAAAUUUCCUGAGGCCUCCCCAAAAGCUGAGCAGGUGUCAGCAUCAUGCUUCCUUAACAGCCAAUGGAAUUACGAGUCAAUUAAAUCUAUUUUCCUUAUAAAUUACAAGUCUUCAGUUUUUCUUCAUAGCAGUGAGGAAAUGAACUAAUUCAGCUAGUAAAUGACAAAUGCCAUAAAAAUAGCAAAUAGCACAAGAAGAUAUCCAACCAAGACUAGGGGACUCCAGAACCUAAGGAUUUCUGAAAGCAUAGGUUUUUAAGAGUGUGAAGAAACUAAGCCUGGGACACAUUUAGGAACUCAAUUACAUAAGAAAUAAAAAUCAUAUAUAGACUAUUUAAAUUUAGAAGAGGAGGAGGAGAGAAGAAAGAUAAGGAAGAGGAGGAGGAGGAAGAAGAAGACAUUCUGGCUUAGCACAUUUACUCUAGUCUAUAGGGAAAGCUCAGUUAUACCCGUUCCCCACUAACCCUAAGAGGAGCUCUAAUGUUCAUAAGGGGCUUUCUCAAGGACUCAAAUAAAUCCUCAGGGAUACAAAACGAUGGGAUACCAAGCAGUAGAGUUGUGUGUGUGUGUGUGUGUGUGUGUGUGUGUGUGUGUGUGUGUGUGUUAGACAAAUAGAUGAAAAAUUUUAUUUUCUUUUGAGACAUAAUCAUUUUGUUUGGAGUCUCUCUCUUUUUCUCUCGAUUCUCUUUCUCUCCCUCUGUCUUUCUUUUUCUUUCUCACUUUCCCUUUGCAAUACUAGUGAAGUAAGACAAAAUGAAAUGAGCAUGGGAUCUUUCUCUAGCUUGAUAGAUCGUUUGUUAUUAUUUGUUUCUUCAUUACAAACUUCCCUGUUAAACUUUCAUGGCUUAAAACAAAAUACUAUAUCUUGUUCCUGAAACUGAACUUUGGGCAGGGCCCAGUGUGAAGGUCUCAUCUCUGUCUAUGUCAAUCAGGUCAGCUGAGGAAAUUCAACUGGGGCUCCAGGCAUAAUUUUCAAGACAGCUCACAGAUGUCACCAAUGUGACAUAAUAAAUGACACCAAUUAUUAUUUAAGAGAAAUUGAAAAGGCUUUUAAAAAUGGCUUGUCUCUAGCUUCAUCCAUGUCCCUACAGCAAACUGUCACAAGGACAAAAAAUCAAACACCGCUUGUUCUCACUCAUAGGUGCGAAUUGAACAAUGAGAACAUUUGGACACAGGAAGGGGAACAUUACACACCGGGGCCUGUUGUGGGGUGGGGGGAGCGGGGAGGGAUAGCAUUAGGAGAUAUACCCAAUGUAAGUGACGAGUUAAUGGGUGCAGCACACCAACAUGGCACAUGUAUACAUAUGUAAUAAACCUGCAUGUUGUGCACAUGUACCCUAGAACUUAAAGUAUAAUAAAAAAAAAAAAACGGCUUGUCUCUAUUUACCAUCCUAGGAUUCUUAACACUGUGGAUGACCUCCUUUUCUAAAGAAAUUUUUUCCUUUUUGAUUUAUUGAAUGUUUUAUUCUAAUUUCUCUACCUCUUUGACUGCUUCUCUCUCUCUACUUGUAAACAGUUGUCUUUCAAGGCAAGGUCAUGGUUUUGAUGUCUUAUAUUCCACCAAGAAAACAAAAAGUGGUGGCUUCAAUAAUUGCCUUUAGUCACAGGAGCCUGAGUCCUGGACUCAGACUUCCUGGAAUUGAAUCUCUCUCUCCAGGUACUCGGUGUCUCCAUACCUCAGUUUUCUUAUAGGUAAAAAUCUGGUGUAUUAGUCAGGUUUCUCUAGGGCAACAGGACUAAGAGGAUAGAUGUAGAUAUGAAAGGGAGUUUAUUAAGGAAUACUGACUCAUAUGAUCACAAGGUGAAGUCCCACAAAAGGCUGUCUGUAAGCUGAGGAGCAAGGAAGCCAGACCGUGUCCCAAAACCUCCAAAGUAGGGAAGCCAACAGUGCAAUCUUCAGUCUGUGGCCAAAGGCCCCUGACAAAGCACUGGAGUAAGUCCAAGAGUCCAAAACCUGAAGAACUUGGAGUCUGAUGUCCAAGGGCAGGAGGUAUCCAGCACGAGAGAAAGGUGGAGGCCAGAAAUCUCAGGCAGUCUAAUCUUUCCAUGUUCCUCUGCCUAUUUUUAUCCUAGCUGCACUGGAAGCUGAGUAGGUGUUGCCCACCCAGAUUAAGGGUGGAUCUGCCUCUCCUAGCCCAUUGACUCAAACAUUAAUCUCCCUUGGCAACACCUUCACAGACACACCCAGGAACAAUAAUUUUCAUUCUUCAAUAUGAUCAAGUUCAUACUCAAUAUUAACCACCACAUUUAGGAAAUUAUACUGCCUUGCUCAUAGGGACAUUAUAAGGAUUAAAAUGUGAAAAUAGGCUUAAAACAUCUGGCACAUUAUAUAUUAAGCACUUAUUAACAUGGGCUGUUUACUUCGGCCCUGACCUGAACGAUUCUUCUCAACCAUUUUUCUUGUUCCUGUUCUUCUUGCUCAAUUUAAUAUUUUCUCCUGAUUUCCAGAGAGUAAUUAGUAGUUAAAAAUAAAGACUUAGUGAUUAAAAGUCAAUAUCACAUUUUAAGAAGAGUACCAUUUAAGAAACGAGAAGACAAUGUAGGCCUGGAGGCACGAAUAUUUAAUUGAUGGCUGCUGUGGUAAUUUGGGCAUGAAAUGUGGACAGCCUGAGGUAAGGAAAUGGUGAUAGGCAUGAUAGAGAGCUUUUGGAAACAGAGCGCAUAUAAGACUGACUGUAUGUAUAAGUAGCAUGGUUUAUAGUGAUUGAAAUACUGAAUGAAUUGUUUGGUAACUCAAUACAGAGAAUAGAGAUUGGUGACUGGUAAUGAGUGUUACAAUAAAAGCAGUGAUGAGUUCAGUUUUGGAUAUCCUCAUGGCGAGCUGUCUUUAAGAAAUUCAAUUAGAGCUACACAAUGCAUAUAUGUAUAUACAUAUACUGGUCUUAAACUCAAAAAGGAGAUGUGUGAUCUGUAGAUACACAUUUACUGGCUAUUAGCCCAUGAAUAUGCAUAAGAUCACUUAAGGAGAGUUUGGAGAGUAAGAAGAAAAUUGAGCUCAGAAGAGAAUGCUAUGUGACACUAACUGUAAAUGAUGUAUGGAAGAAUGACAUGAAGAAGAGUCUACAAAAGUAAUUGAGAAAGAAUGCUCAGAAAUGUAAAAAAAAAUCUUGAGACACUAGUGUCACAGGAGCUAUGGAUGACUGCAUUUUGAGAGUGAAAAUGUGAAGCAAUCUAACAGUAGUAUAUACCAUAAAGAGAAGACUCCCACUUGAAUUUGUUCCUGAGAUUUAGCAAACUAGAGGACACUGGAAAUUUCCUAACAGCACUUUUCACUUGAAUAGUUGAAUUGGAAGCCAUACUACCAUGAGUUUUAAGACAGUGGGAAUAGAAAUGUGAAAUGGGAAGAGGAAAAUACAAUUUGGAACAUUGGUGUGAAGGAGAACAAUGGUGUAGCUGCAGUAGGUUGCAGGUAUGUAUAAAGAUUAAAUAAAAAUUGUUAUGUGUGUUCAUUUGUUUUCUGAGCUCAUGGAAAUGUAGAGAUGCUUACUUUGGACAGGAAAGAAAUAGAGUGGGAAAUUUGGCAUCCCAGAUAGGGUAGUGGAUGAUCUAUGAAGCAAAAUCCAUGAUAAUGGAAGAGAUGGGAAAACAUGCCUCCCCAUUUUUUCCUGUGAAAGACUGAACAUUAGAUUUGGGAAAAAUGUGACACAUCCCUGGAAAUGAAAGAGGAUAGAACAUAAAGAUCAAUACAAAUCCAGAUGGAUGUACAGAUUGAGACAAGGAGAAAGAGAGAAGUGAAGACCUCCCUUCUGAUUUACCACUCAUAUGACGACUACUGUCCUCCUUCUGUUCCUUUAUGGUCUUUUUCUUCUCUUGUUUUACUCCUCCUUUUAUUAUUCUUUUAAACAAGCAUAAAAUAUUUGGUAUUGAAACACAGCACAUUUCCAAGAACACAAAAUUAUAAUUGGAUUUUGGAUUUCCACACUGCAAAAUAAAAUAAUGUUAUAUUAUUUUUGAGAUAUCAGUAGAGAAAAUAUUAUAAUGAAUCAAAGACUGGGCUGAAGAAACCUUUGGCAGAAAGAAAUUGAAAACAUAUAUUUUCUUGGAUACAUAAUAUUUUCUUCAAUCAUAUAAAAGACAAAAAAUAAACCAAAAAGACAAAACCCAGUACCUAUUGUCUCCAUUUGGCCAUAGCCAGGUUUAUACCACAGUGCCUAACCCCCAUCACCUGGGAAUCUGACACCUGCAUUCUUGAUUGAAAUGAUUACCUAUAGCAUCCUCAUUCUUUAUUUUUGGAGGUUAUUAUGAUAUUCAUUUUUUAGUAAAAACUUGCAGCUAUCAUUUGUUUGAUAAUUGAGCAACUAUUUCAAUCUUUUGUUAGAACUCUGCUGUUUUGAGGUUUUAUUCUGAAAAUAAAAUGACCUGGAAUGUUUUCAUUUUAGUUUGGAUGGGAAAAAACAAAGUGAAUACCAUGGUAAAUAUGUCCAUUGCAAUUCUAAAUUACCUAAUUUUAAUCCCAUAUGUUCUGAGGAUAGUAAAAGAAAAGCACUGAUGAAAAACAAUUGUAAGACAUUUUACACACCAUUAAGAAAUAAAUAAAUUACUUUAGGGCCCAUGUAAUACUCUUUUGGAAUUUUGUUUUAUCUGAAUAAGUUUCAGGCCAAGUCUCUUUAGUUAACGUCAUUAUCUUUAAUUCUGCAUUAAAGAGAAUUACACUGAUAUUUUUUACAUUUGUGGUCUUUUUUCUCCACUCUUUGUGAAUGCUAUUUUUAACUUUUGCUACUUCUACACUCUGAAAGUCCAGAAAGAACAUAACUUUGCAUGAAGGCAAACAAACUUUAUGCAUCUUCUGGGCCACCUCUCCCAGAAGGGUGAUUUAGUAAAUUCAUCCCUUGCACCAAAUGUUAAACCUCUAUUUAGGCAACUGUUAGCAGAACAAAUAAAAUGCAUUUUGUUAUUCCAUAUAAUGCUAGGUAUUAACAAACUAUAUUAUGUUUGUAGAACUAUCUGAAGGCAACUAAUAUAUGUAUAAAAUGUGUUAAAUAUUAUCUAGGGCUACUAAAUGAGAUGUUUAAUGUUGUAGAUAUCAUGAUUCAUCAAAUUAUUUGGUUAUUUUUGCUGUGGGAAAUAAUUUAAAUAUGUAUUCAUAAAAUUUUUUCAAAGAUUUUUCAGGAUUAAAUAAUCACUUCAAACAAAUUAGAAUGAGAUGUUUUGAGAGUACUAUGAAUUGAGUCAAUAUUCAUUUCAAUCACUUUCUAAUACAAUUUUAUUUAAUAAAAAUGUGGUAAACUAAAAACAAAUGAACAAAUUAUUAAUAGAUACAUAGAUGAACACAUACAUACAUACAUACAUACAUAGAUAAUUACCAUUUUCAGAUUCCUUUGCAGAUGGACUCCCAUACAGCUGUGGUUCCUCUAAGUAGUUAUAACUACAUCGAAUCAGAGGAAGGAAGCGAGCAAUCAGAGGAAGCAACUAUAUUGAGGAGUGUUGGCUUCUUUAGAAAGCAGGCAGCACCGUUUCAGUGGGUAUUCAGGUCUUGUUUUCAGGUCUAGUGGAAGUCCUAGCAUAUAAUUAUUAAAAUCCUUAGUGCUUAGAACUAUAAAAAAUAGGUUGGGGCUUUCAUUUAAAGAUAACUAAAUAUGACUGAGCUUUUUCUUAACUUCUGUUGUUGCUGUCCUUCUUGGAGAUUCUCCCAGCUCUCUAAGACUCUAAUAAAUCUUCCUAUUUAAGCGAAACACACAGAUUAGUAAUGAAAGGGACACUGAUAUAGGUUAAAAACUACACUUGUAUAGAAAGAGUGCCCCAAUUUGGUACCUAGCGAUACGGGGGUGGAGCAGAGGAAGGCCAGCUCCUAGAAGGAGAGGAAGAACUAAGUAGGUGGGGAGAGAGAAAGAGCGAGAACCUCAGAGAAAGCCUGGGAGGAAGCUGUGGGGAGUGAAUGUAAUAGCAAGAGUCCCAGAAAUGUCAAUGAAUCUUUCCAAAUACUUAACAUUAACGGUGCUAUUCAUAAAAGUACGCUGCCUUGAAAUGCAGUAUCCCAUGCGAUUAGAUCUUACUGUAGCAGCCGCAGAUACCAGCUAGAUCACUUCUAUUGUCCAUUACCACCUAUGAUGAUUAACAUUGAGUGUCAAUUUGAUUGGAUUGAAGGAUAUGAAGUAUUGUUCCUGGGUGUGUCUGUGAGGGUGUUGCCAAAGGAGAUUAACAUUUUAGUCAGUGGACUGGGGAAGGCAGAUGCACCCUCAAUCUGGGUGGGCAUCACCUAAUCAGCUGCCAGUGUGGCCAGAAUAAAAGCAGACAGAAGAACCUGGAGAAACUAGACUGGCUUAGUUUCCCAGCCUCCAUCUUUCUCCCUGCUGGAUCCUUCCUGUCCUCGGAUAUCGGACUCCAAGUUAUUCGGCUUUGGGACUCUUGGACCUUCAACCACAGACUGAAGGCUGCACUGUCAGCUUUUUAAAGAGACUGUGGGUGGAAGGGAGAAAUAAUUGCAUUGAUGAUGUUUUUGCAGGCUAUCGUGUGAUAAUUUUAUUUAGCAGCUGCUGUCUCUCAAAAUAUUGUAUGAUGUUAGAAAUAAUGGGUCAUGUAUAUUCCUAGAUCAAGAAAUCGAUUCCAAUAUAUGUUAUCAAAGAUGAUUCUGUCUUGAAUUUGAACAGCAGACCAGGGACACUGGCUUCCUUAUUAUUGGAAAUAAAUGGAAAUGUAGAAAAAUAUUAAUAUGUUUCUAAAAUGUAUGUUUAAGUAUAUAAUUUUUCCAAGAAUAUCUAUACAUAAAUGUAUUUGAAUAAAUGCAAUUAACAACAUAUUUUCAUAUAUAUUUGCAUAUUACAAUACAUAUAUAAGCUUAUUUCUAGUUAAUAUAUAGUAUAGAGCAAUUACAUUUUAAAGUUUUAAUUCUAUGAUUAGAUUCAUUUAACAAAACUAUAACGCUGAUGCUGCUGAUAAACGCUAUUUGAGUUGACUUAAGCAUAUGAGGAGAGAAAUAAAUUAGAUUUUUGGCAAGAAUUGCUCUCUGUUUCCUAACAACAGCUUGCUCAGUUUAAUUCCUAACAAGGUCAUCAUCCAAUCCUCUGUAAAUUUGAAAUUUAAGUUUUAAGAGUCAGGAACAGAUGUGAUGUGUUAAUUGCAAACUUGCUUGUUUUGUGAGUUGAUAGUCUCAGGUUGAAUUGUUUAUUCAUCUAUUAACAAUUUAACUAAAUGGAGAUCAUUAUGUUUAUUUUUCACUUGGUCAGUUACAAAUUAUUUAUUAUUUUUUUUUUUGAGAUGGACAGAGUCUCAUUCUGUCGCCCAGGCUGGGGUGGAGUGGCACGAUCUCGGCUUACUGUAACCUCUGCCUCCCGGGUUCAAGGGAUUCCCGUCCCAGCCUCCCAAGUAGCUGGGAUUACAGGUGCCUGCUACCACACCUGGCUAAUUUUUGUAUUUUUAGUAGAGACGGGGUUUCACCAUGUUGGCCAUGCUGGUCUCCAAUUCCUGACCUCAGGAGAUACACCCGCCUUGGCCUUCCAAAGUGCUGGGAUUACAGGCGUGAGCCACUGCGGCCAGCCAGUUAAAACUUACUUCCCUGUUCCUACGAGGUAGUGUUUAUUAUGCUAUGAGAUAACCUCCAUGGGGCUGUGUGAAGAGCAAUUUAAACACCAGGGAGGGAUCCAAUUUUAUCCUUUCUUCAGCUCCAAUGUCUCACACAGUUUUAUUAAUAAGAAGCAAUCAUCAACAUAAAAAGGCAGGCUGAUCAGAGGCCCCCUCCUGUUGUCUUCCUCUUUGUCUUGUCUCACCUCCACCUCUUUGUCUUCAUUCCUUUAGUGAUUCCCUAAGGUCCACAAAGAACGCAAGAGGCAGCAAUGAAAGCUGUGCUAAGUGACAAUGUGGCCAAGACAUAAGCAGAGUAGAUGCUCAUAGAAGGCACCAAUUCAAGAGGAAGCCCGCUGCUCAUAGUGAUACUUCCCUGCCCACGUUUCUGUACACUUGGGCAGUGCAGCACCUCUUCUAUAGUGUCUCUUAUUUUUCACUUCUUGACACACGGUCGCAUUGUUGUUGUUGUUGUUUUGACAACAGGUUUAGCCUUGGGACUUGCUUCUAAAUGUAAGCAGCAGUGAUUUGUGAAGUGUGACAAACUGGGACUCAAUUCUCCAUGUUGUCUUGUUAGUUAUGACCUUGAAAGCUUUUUUCCACAUGGAUCUUCAAAUAGAUACAGUGAGUAAAGUCUUCUAGUAACUUGCAUGGCCAUGUAAAAGAAAUAACCUUUCACUGGAUUAAACCAGUGAUAAUAUGUGAAAGCUAUAAGAAGUAUCCUAGGUGAAAAGUGUAUAUUCACGUCAGACAUGAGAUAAAUGCUCAAUAAAUGUGUUUUCUCACUCAUAAUCCAAGCAACAUAUUUCAUUUCAAAGCAAGAGAGGACUUUAGACAGCAAUUCUAGCUCUUAAACUUUAGUUUCCUAUAUAAAAUGGGAAAGAUCAAUUUUUAAAAUUCUAUUUUUAAUAACUUUCAGGAAUAUCAAUAUUUUGUGAACAUUCUGUUCUAAUGUUAAAACACUGACAGAAACUAUGAUGCUUAGCUUCAGUUCCAUUUGAUUUUAUUUAAGCUGCCGCAUUUCAAAAAGCAAAACUUGAAUUUUCCAUGCACUGAAUUCUGUUGAAUCCAUGAUAAUUAAAUGACGUGUAGGCUCCGUAUUUAGGCAUUAUAAGUAAUCUAGAGAUAAUUUAAAGUAUACGGGAGCAUACUCAUAGGUUAUAUGCAAAUAUUGCAGCAUUUUAUAUAAGAUGUUUGGACAUUUGCCAGUCUUGUUAUCUGAUGAGGGUCCUGGAAUCAAUCACCCAUGAACACUGAAGGUCAGCUGUAGUUUUUUUUCCUAUAACACACACACACACACACACACACACACACACACACACACACACACACACACACCCACACACCAUAGUUAAGGCAUGCUCAUCCUUAAAACUUCAGUUCAAACAUUAAAUUUUUUCUUAUUCAGAUCACCAUCGUGUCUCAAUUUAGACAGCCUCUCUCUACUGUCCAUAAUGACCUGUCAUGUAUUUUCUAGUAUUUGUCACGUAUCAUAGUACUCAUUGCUUUUAUUUUUCUUUUUUUUAGAACGAGGCUGUUUGCUCCUCUGAGCAGCCUCAAUGACUCAUUCAUUACUGUAUUCCCAUUGCCUAACACAUAUCUGACAAAUACUAAAAGCACAAUAGAUGCCAGUUAAAUGAAUGGUAAAUAUAAAUUAAUAUAAAUAAAUAAAUUUUUCUUAAAUUAUCUGUUGCUUCUCAAGUUUCCUUUUCAGAUUAUCAAUUUAUUUAACAAAUAUUUCUUGAAUGUUUACUAUCUAUAAAACGUGGAGCAAGAGAAUGUAAAACAUUUUUUUGGAAU
rnacentral:lncRNA from 10 species